rnacentral:snRNA from 1 species
UCCUUUUCUUGGUCGGAAAUGUU